CCCUUUGAUACUCUGGGCGGUACGCGCGCUACACUGGUUUAUAUAACGUGUAAUUUGGACGAUAGUCUGUAUAAAUCACUAAUAUAAAACCGUGAAUGGGAUAGUUUAUUGCAACUUACAAACUUUAACUAGGAAUCCCUUGUAGAAGUAGUGAAUUAUACUGCUUCGAAUACGUCCCUGCCGAUUGUACACACCGCCCGUCGUUUCUUCCGACUGAUACUCAUUGUGAAUUGCGAGGAGAUUCUGUCAAAUCGUUGUAAAUGCUGGGUAUUGGAGGAAGAAAAAGUCGUAACA
rnacentral:rRNA from 1 species